rnacentral:rRNA from 1 species
GAUGAACGCUGGCGGCGUGCCUAAUACAUGCAAGUCGAGCGAACAGACGAGGAUCUUGCUCCUCUGACGUUAGCGGCGGACGGGUGAGUAACACUUGGAUAACCUACCUAUCAGGCUGGGACUACUUCGGGAAACCGGAGCUAGUACCGGAUAAUAUAUUCAACCGCAUGGUUCAAUAGUGAAUGACGGUUUUGCUGUCACUUAUAGAUGGAUCCGCGGCGCAUUAGCUUGUUGGGUAGGUAACGGUUUACCAAGGCGACGAUGCGUAGCCGACCUGAGGGAGGGAUCGGCCACACUCGAACUGGGACACGGUCCAGACUCCUACGGGAGGCAGCAGUAGGGUAUCUUGCGCAACAGGCGAGAGCAUGACGGAGCAACGCGGCGUGGGUGAUGGAGGUCUUGCGAUCGUAAAACUCUGUUACUAGGGAAGAACAAAUGUGUAAGUAACUGAGGACGUAUUGACGGUACCUAAUCAGAAAGCAACGGCUAACUCCGUG